GCCAGCGGUGAAAGCACGUUGAAUGCACCAGUUUUCAAUGGAACACUGGUUAAGAAACGUUGCGUGCGGUUGGUACCGAGAUGGAUGACCAUCAGGUUAAUGGCAUGCUUCUGGCU
rfam:Asian citrus Psyllid, Diaphorina citri - Florida Strain, whole genome shotgun sequence.